UUUGUAUACCACAAGGCCAAGUUAUAUAGUUUCCAAAUUUCACUACUAGAAAACCGGCUCUUUUGUUUAAACACAGUUUUUCAAGCUUGUUUCGGCAGUGUCACGUCCAAAAACAAGAAGCCGGCAAAGGGAAUGUACUUCCAUGUUGACCAAAAUUUUAUCGUAAAACAAACCGCGCAAAAUGUCUGUAUUUUUUUUCCUAGGUGUGAAACUUGCUCUAAAAAUUUGUACACAACAAGGCCAAGUUAUAUAGUUUCCAAAUUUCAUUACUAGAAAACCGGC